GAAAUUUGGUGUAGAGGAUCGUGG
rnacentral:siRNA from 1 species